GGUAGCAUGGCCGAGCGGUCUAAGGCGCUGGUUUAAGGCACCAGUCAUUUCGAUGGCGUGGGUACGAAUCCCACUGCUGCCA
rnacentral:tRNA from 1 species